UAGGGAAUCUUCCACAAUGGACGCAAGUCUGAUGGAGCAACGCCGCGUGAGUGAAGAAGGGUUUCGGCUCGUAAAGCUCUGUUGGUAGUGAAGAAAGAUAGAGGUAGUAACUGGCCUUUAUUUGACGGUAAUUACUUAGAAAGUCACGGCUAACUACGUGCCAGCAGCCGCGGUAAUACGUAGGUGGCAAGCGUUGUCCGGAUUUAUUGGGCGUAAAGCGAGUGCAGGCGGUUCAAUAAGUCUGAUGUGAAAGCCUUCGGCUCAACCGGAGAAUUGCAUCAGAAACUGUUGAGCUUGAGUGCAGAAGAGGAGAGUGGAACUCCAUGUGUAGCGGUGGAAUGCGUAGAUAUAUGGAAGAACACCAGUGGCGAAGGCGGCUCUCUGGUCUGCAACUGACGCUGAGGCUCGAAAGCAUGGGUAGCGAACAGGAUUAGAUACCCUGGUAGUCCAUGCCGUAAACGAUGAGUGCUAAGUGUUGGGAGGUUUCCGCCUCUCAGUGCUGCAGCUAACGCAUUAAGCACUCCGCCUGGGGAGUACGACCGCAAGGUUG
rnacentral:rRNA from 1 species